rnacentral:rRNA from 1 species
AUUGAACGCUGGCGGCAUGCCUUACACAUGCAAGUCGAACGGCAGCACGGGGGCAACCCUGGUGGCGAGUGGCGAACGGGUGAGUACUGCAUCGGAACGUACCCAGUAGUGGGGGAUAACCAGUCGAAAGACUGGCUAAUACCGCAUACGCACUGAGGUGGAAAGCGGGGGAUCGCAAGACCUCGCGCUAUUGGAGCAGCCGAUGUCCGAUUAGGUAGUUGGUGGGGUAAGAGCCUACCAAGCCGACGAUCGGUAGCUGGUCUGAGAGGACGACCAGCCACACUGGGACUGAGAUACGGCCCAGACUCCUACGGGAGGCAGCAGUCGAGAGGCUUCGGCAAUGGGGGAAACCCUGACCGAGCGACGCCGCGUGAGGGAUGAAGGCCCUUGGGUUGUAAACCUCUUUUGUUCGGGAAGAAGUGCGAUCAGGUGAAUAAUCUGGUCGUUUGACGGUACCGGACGAAUAAGCUCCGGCUAACUCCGUGCCAGCAGCCGCGGU